rnacentral:rRNA from 1 species
UAAUACAUGCAAGUCGAACGCGUCUCCGUUAAUGAUUUUAGGUGCUUGCACUUGAAAGAUUUAACAUUGAGACGAGUGGCGAACUGGUGAGUAACACGUGGGUAACCUGCCCUUGAAGUAGGGGAUAACACUUGGAAACAGGUGCUAAUACCGUAUAACAACCAAAACCACCUGGUUUUGGUUUAAAAGACGGCUUCGGCUGUCACUUUAGGAUGGACCCGCGGCGUAUUAGCUUGUUGGUAAGGUAACGGCCUACCAAGGCGAUGAUACGUAGCCGACCUGAGAGGGUAAUCGGCCACAUUGGGACUGAGACACGGCCCAAACUCCUACGGGAGGCAGCAGUAGGGAAUCUUCCACAAUGGACGAAAGUCUGAUGGAGCAACGCCGCGUGAGUGAUGAAGGGUUUCGGCUCGUAAAACUCUGUUGUUGGAGAAGAACAGGUGUCAGAGUAACUGUUGACAUCUUGACGGUAUCCAACCAGAAAGCCACGGCUAACUACGUGCCAGCAGCCGCGGUAAUACGUAGGUGGCAAGCGUUGUCCGGAUUUAUUGGGCGUAAAGCGAGCGCAGGCGGUUUUUUAGGUCUGAUGUGAAAGCCUUCGGCUUAACCGGAGAAGUGCAUCGGAAACCGGGAGACUUGAGUGCAGAAGAGGACAGUGGAACUCCAUGUGUAGCGGUGAAAUGCGUAGAUAUAUGGAAGAACACCAGUGGCGAAGGCGGCUGUCUGGUCUGUAACUGACGCUGAGGCUCGAAAGCAUGGGUAGCGAACAGGAUUAGAUAC